rnacentral:rRNA from 1 species
AUGGCUUAAAAACGAGCCUCGGGACGGUGAUGACGUCGCGACAAUGUGGUGGUCAGGAGGCCUUCGARCCUCGGAGUCUUUGCGAGUCGCGCGUCGGAUCCUUCCUCGUGCCSGAAAGUAANCCYGAAUGGGGUGU